AUACCAAUUUUCCUCUGUUCUAAAAAGUAAUUCAGGAAAUUUAGAGAUGGCUGGCAAUAGUGAUGCCAUGUUACGAGCCUUAAGGACAGCUGAAGUCUUUAAGGUCCCUGAAAAUGGCUACAGUG